UACGUAGGGGGCAAGCGUUGUCCGGAAUCAUUGGGCGUAAAGAGCGUGUAGGCGGCUCGGUAAGUCCGCUGUGAAAGUCCAGGGCUCAACCCUGGAAUGCCGGUGGAAACUGUCGAGCUAGAAUCCGGAAGAGGCGAGUGGAAUUCCUGGUGUAGCGGUGAAAUGCGCAGAUAUCAGGAGGAACACCAAUAGCGAAGGCAGCUCGCUGGGACGUUACUGACGCUGAGGCGCGAAAGCGUGGGGAGCGAACAGG
rnacentral:rRNA from 1 species